CGUCGUAACUGUCAGAGAAAGGAGCAGCCGCUUCCCCUCUACUACUAGUCCGUCUUCUACCCCGCCUCUUCAUCUCUGAACAUGCAAAGAACCUUCCAGAACCUUCCGCGUCUGCGCCGCACAUCACUAUCCCUCCGCCGUGUCUACACCAGCGCACCGCCGCCGCCGCGUCAUGAAGGCGACAUCGUCCGGUGGAACUCCGCCAUCACCGCGCACCUACGCGCCGGCAGGGUGGGCGCCGCGCGCCGGGUGUUCGAUGAAAUGCCCGACCGGAACGUGUUCACGUGGAACUGCAUGAUCUCGGGCCUCGUAAGGAACAGGAUGCUCGCCGACGCCCGCGGGGUGUUCGACGCGAUGCCGUUCAGGAACUCCGUCUCGUGGGCCGCGCUGCUGACUGGCUACGCGCGGUGCGGGAGGGUCGCCGAGGCCAGGGAGCUCUUCGACCGGAUGCCGGACCGAAACGUGGUCUCCUGGAACGCGAUGGUUUCAGGCUACGUGCGGAACGGGAUGGUGGACAGGGCAAGGGAGCUGUUUGACGUGAUGCCGGUCAGGAAUGACGUGUCGUGGUUGACAAUGAUCUCCGGGUAUAUGAAGAGGAAGCGUGUUCGUGAAGCGAGGGAGCUCUUUGACCGCAUGCCUUCACCAUCAACUUCAGUGUGCAAUGCAUUGCUGUCAGGUUAUGCAGAACAUGGUUACCUGAAAGAUGCAGAGGAGCUGUUUGGUCGGAUGCAGAGACAGAACCUUAUUUCUUGGAAUGUCAUGAUCACAGGCUAUACACAGGCUGGGAUGAUGGAGGUUGCACAGAGUCUCUUUGAUGAGAUGCCUGAAAAGGACACUGUAUCUUGGACGGCCAUCGUGCGUGGGUAUUUGAAGAAUGGAGAUGUUGAUGCCGCAUGGAAGCUGUUCCAGGACAUGCCUGAUCGUGAUAUCCUUGCUUGGAACACAAUGAUAGGUGGCUUCGUGAUGAGUGAGAGGUUGGAUGAUGCAUUGAGAUUGUUCGCUGACAUGCCUGAUAGAGAUCUGGUAUCAUGGAAUACAAUCUUGCAAGGAUACGUCCAACAAGGGGACAUGGAUAGUGCAAAUACCUGGUUUAGGAGAAUGCCGGAGAAAAAUGAGACAUCAUGGAACACGUUGAUCUCUGGGUACAAAGAUGAAGGAGCACUUAGUCUGCUGUUGGAAAUGACCCGAGGAGGAUAUAAACCGGACCAAGCCACUUGGAGUGUGGUUAUUUCUAUCUGUGCAUCUCUUGUUGCUCUUGGGUGUGGAAGAAUGGUGCACGUUUGUGCCAUCAAAACUGGUUUUGAGCAUGAUGCUUUGGUGAUGAGCUCAUUAAUAUCUAUGUACUCCAAGUGUGGAUUAAUUAUUGAAGCUUCGCAAGUCUUCGAGAUGAUUAUGCAACGGGAUACGGUGACAUGGAAUGCCAUGAUUGCGACAUAUGCUUAUCACGGUCUAGCUGCUGAAGCUCUGAAACUCUUUGACAGGAUGACCAAAGAUGGAUUUACCCCAGAUCAUUCAACUUUUCUGAGUGUGUUGUCUGCUUGUGCACAUAAAGGGUAUCUAUAUGAAGGCUGCCACUAUUUUAGAAGUAUGCAACAGGAUUGGAACUUGAUUCCAAGAUCUGAUCACUAUUCAUGCAUGGUUGAUCUCUUUGGAAGAUCAGGUUUUGUACACCAGGCUUAUGAUUUUACAAGAAAAAUCCCUUCCAACCUUCAAAUAAAUGCAUGGGAGACUCUGUUUAGUGCAUGCAAUGCUCAUGGGGAUAUACAGCUUGGGGAACUCAUAGCAAAAAAUGUUCUUCAGUCUAGACCUAGUGAUGGUGGAAUGUAUACACUCUUGUCAAACAUAUAUGCUGCUAAAGAGAUGUGGAGCAGUGCUGCCAGUGUCAGAGGUCUCAUGAAAGAUCGGGGGUUGAAGAAGGAGACUGGGUGUAGUUGGAUUGAGCUGAAGGGGGAUGUUGUUUCCUUCUCAUCAAAUGAUAAUGCACACCCUUUGAUUGAGCAGAUAUGCCAAGAAGUUGAUAGUCUUUCUGUUUUGAUAGAAGAGGCAAGUUAAAUGGCAACAUCCUUUGAUAUUGUCAUGAAAAGGAAUUCAGAUGGUUUCUUUGAGACCAUUUACAACCACAUGGCUUCAAACACUGAUAUAUGGUAGAAGCCAUGGAUGUCCGAAUUGAAAGUCUCUGGAAGAAUUACACGGUACUGGUGGGCUGGAUCUCACUCAAUUCUUCUGUGGAGAUUCCUUCAAGAUCACAAUCACGGAAUCAAAACAGCAUCAUGGUAGCAUCCUUUUGGAACCUGGCGGCUGGCCAUGGUUGAGAGAGUUAGUCAAAGUGAGGUACCGGACCCUCAAACCAGAUCCUUUCAGUAAAAUUGAUCCUACCGGCCAGUGGGACUCAUAAUUUGUGAUUGAUAUUUUCUCUGAAGAUGCUGAGCAAAUUUCUCCCAUACAAGAUGAUUGCUUUGUUGCCUGAUCUGAAUGGUGUUUUUUUCCCAGUAAAACUGGGCAUACAAGAGCAGGAUCAUAGAGCAGUGAGAAAUGCUUCAUCCUCAAAUCACUCUGAUUAUGCUAGCAUUCAGGGGUCUUGUAUUUGGAACAUGAAAGUGCUAUAUAAAUUCAAAAUGAUCUUGCGGUGUUAAGCUAAACAUAAUUUGCCUGACUUGCUGGAGGAUGGAUGAAGGUGGGGGCGUGGGGCUUAUUCCUUCUUCAAAUGUAAAGCUUGCUGGUGGCUUCUGCAGUUAGAACUUAAGAUCUGAGGUUCCAGUUAAUGCGGUGCUAAUCAGCUAAGGAUGGGGUGCUGAAUUGGAAAACUCAGCUUACUGUCUUCGUUCUCAUGUUAAUGUGGUGCCAAGGCAUGAAAUAAAAUGCACUCCAGAGAAAUAAUGUGAGUACUGACGAAAUUUGCAUGUCGGUGGUUAAUGGAAUUGAUUUUCCAUCUUAAAAAAGGGGUAGGGGAACAGUCUGCUUAUGAACCGAGAGCAGCAUGUUCACACAAUUCAUGCAACUGUCGUAACAGACAAGAUGGUCCCCACCACAGCAACUGGAGACCACACAGUCUCUAACUGGAUACCUGCUACAAUCAGCAAUGGCAAUGGAACUGGUGGUAUGUUCAUUGUGGCAAGAAGAAAUUCAAGAAUUGGGUUCCAAGUUCGUGCUGUCACUGGAGACCAGGGCUCUGUCAAUGUGUCUGAUGUAAAGUUCCCAGGUGAUUACACAGAACUUCUGAUGCAGUGAUUUCAGGCUAAAGAAGCUGCUCAAUCAGCUCUUAAGGAUGGAAAGCAGCUACUGGAAAUCGAGUUCCCUACAGCUGGACUACAAAGUGUGCCAGGUUCGAGAUCGAUGACCUUUUGUAUACCUACUCCCGGUCAUUCCGAACAUAAUUCAUUUUAGACUUAAGCACCUGAACUAAGAAAAUGUUGAAGUGACCUUAAUGCCCUUCGCUUAUUACACAUUGCAUAAGAUACCUCAUGAGAGGUGAUAUCAUUCAGUUAGAAAGGCAUAAGGGUAAAACUAAUUUUAGACAGGUGCCUGGAAGCUCUAUGGUGAUUUACAUUAAAGAAUAUGGAAGUCUAAAAUGACUUAUAUUGAUUUGGAGGGAGUACUUUGGUUUACUUCAGGUGGAAAUGCUCUAGUUUGUUUCUAUUCUUGCUUUUAGGUGAUGACGAAGGAGGAAAUGAGAUGACUGGAAGCAUGCUUCUCAUUAGAGAAUUUUGUGAUCGCUUUGUACCUGCAGAGAAAGCUACUCGAACCAGAGUAGUAUGUCCUUAUCUGGAAUACUGGAUUUUUUAGUCAUUAAUGUGCAUAUUUGCGAAUGAUUACUGCAUUGUUUAGAAAUGCCGAAAUAGCAAAAGAGCAGAGUUAUGCAUGGUUUGCCCUUGGCAACUUUUAUGAGAGAUAGUGCAAGUAUAUGUACUAGUUAUGCCCCAGCCUUUAUCAACUGAAAAGUGAAAACCCCUGGUUGACUCCAUUGUUCCUAUCUCACGUGUUUCAGUUCUUUCCUGAGGCAAAUGAGGUUUCUUUUGCAAGACAAUCAGCCUUUGAAGGAUGUUUACUGAAGCUAGAUUAUCUAACGAAACCAUCCUUAUUUGAAGAUUUUGGUUUUACAACAAAAGUCAAAAUGGCAGACCGUGUCAAACCAGAAGACGAGACAUUCCUUGUGGCUUAUCCUUACUUCAAUGUCAAUGGUUUUGCAUUAUCUCUUUUGCUUGAAUUUGCGAUAUCCCCUCCAUUAGUACUGAUCUAUUAAACUUGAGCUUACCUCUUUAGUAAUAUGGUGGCUUACAGAAAUGCUUGUAGUUGAAGAGCUUUACAAGGAAGCAGUUGUUGGGACCAACCGGAAAUUAAUAAUAUUCAAUGGAGAACUAGAUCGAAUAAGAAGUGGAUACUAUCCAUCAUUCUUCUACCCGAAGCUUGCUGAGCUUUCCAAAACAUUUCUCCCAAACCUGGACACAGUUUACUAUAUUCACAAUUUCAAGGGAGUCAAAGGGGGAACACUUUUCAGGUGCUACCCUGGACCUUGGACGGUCCUGAGAAAAGCAACGUCUGGCAGCUACAUCUGCUUGCAUCAACAAGAGGAAAUGCCCUCGUUGAAGGAAGUGGCCCUCGACAUCCUUCCUUCUGUAUAGCUGGAACUUUCCAGAGUUGCAUGUCAAUCAAAAUGUUUACAGAAGAAGGCAUGUGCUGCUACCUGGACAAUGCUUCAUGGCUCUUUUUUCUUUGGUUGUACGAAGGAAGGUAGAAAAGAUGCCGAAACAACCAGAUCUACAUUUCUCAACUUUGGUUUUACUUCUGCACUAAGAGAAUGGAUGGUGCUGACUAGUUGAUUAUUGCCGCUAUUCAAAAGAUGCCCAUGGAUCACUGUGCUUUGUUUAGGGAGAUUGAAAACUACAGAAAACAUCAUCAUUCCUUGUAAUAUUACUGUAUAUUAACGUUUUCGCGUGGACGGAUAUGAUGAAUUCAGCGUGCCAUCAGCCAGAUCCCAGCUAUUUAUUUA